rnacentral:rRNA from 1 species
UACAGAGGUCCCGAGCGUUGUUCGGAUUCACUGGGCGUAAAGGGUGCGUAGGUGGUGAGGUAAGUCGGAUGUGAAAUCUCCGGGCUCAACCCGGAAAUGGCAUUGGAAACUAUCUUGCUGGAGGAUUUGAGGGGGGAUUGGAAUACUUGGUGUAGCAGUGAAAUGCGUAGAUAUCAAGUGGAACACCAGUGGCGAAGGCGAAUCCCUGGAAAAUACCUGACACUGAGGCACGAAAGCUAGGGGAGCAAACAGG